rnacentral:rRNA from 1 species
UACGUAGGUGGCAAGCGUUGUCCGGAAUUAUUGGGCGUAAAGCGCGCGCAGGCGGUUUCUUAAGUCUGAUGUGAAAGCCCACGGCUCAACCGUGGGAGGUCAUUGGAAACUGGGGAACUUGAGUGCAGAAGAGAAGAGCGGAAUUCCACGUGUAGCGGUGAAAUGCGUAGAGAUGUGGAGGAACACCAGUGGCGAAGGCGGCUCUUUGGUCUGUAACUGACGCUGAGGCGCGAAAGCGUGGGGAUCAAACAGG